GUCGAGCGGAUGAGAAGAGCUUGCUCUUCGAUUCAGCGGCGGACGGGUGAGUAAUACCUAGGAAUCUGCCUGGUAGUGGGGGACAACGUUUCGAAAGGAACGCUAAUACCGCAUACGUCCUACGGGAGAAAGCAGGGGACCUUCGGGCCUUGCGCUAUCAGAUGAGCCUAGGUCGGAUUAGCUAGUUGGUGAGGUAAUGGCUCACCAAGGCGACGAUCCGUAACUGGUCUGAGAGGAUGAUCAGUCACACUGGAACUGAGACACGGUCCAGACUCCUACGGGAGGCAGCAGUGGGGAAUAUUGGACAAUGGGCGAAAGCCUGAUCCAGCCAUGCCGCGUGUGUGAAGAAGGUCUUCGGAUUGUAAAGCACUUUAAGUUGGGAGGAAGGGUACUUACCUAAUACGUGAGUAUUUUGACGUUACCGACAGAAUAAGCACCGGCUAACUCUGUGCCAGCAGCCGCGGUAAUACAGAGGGUGCAAGCGUUAAUCGGAAUUACUGGGCGUAAAGCGCGCGUAGGUGGUUUGUUAAGUUGAAUGUGAAAUCCCCGGGCUCAACCUGGGAACUGCAUCCAAAACUGGCAAGCUAGAGUAGGGCAGAGGGUGGUGGAAUUUCCUGUGUAGCGGUGAAAUGCGUAGAUAUAGGAAGGAACACCAGUGGCGAAGGCGACCACCUGGGCUCAUACUGACACUGAGGUGCGAAAGCGUGGGGAGCAAACAGGAUUAGAUACCCUGGUAGUCCACGCCGUAAACGAUGUCAACUAGCCGUUGGAAUCCUUGAGAUUUUAGUGGCGCAGCUAACGCAUUAAGUUGACCGCCUGGGGAGUACGGCCGCAAGGUUAAAACUCAAAUGAAUUGAC
rnacentral:rRNA from 1 species